GAUGAACGCUGGCGGCGUGCCUAAUACAUGCAAGUCGAGCGAACAGACGAGGAGCUUGCUCCUCUGACGUUAGCGGCGGACGGGUGAGUAACACGUGGAUAACCUACCUAUAAGACUGGGAUAACUUCGGGAAACCGGAGCUAAUACCGGAUAAUAUAUUGAACCGCAUGGUUCAAUAGUGAAAGACGGUUUUGCUGUCACUUAUAGAUGGAUCCGCGCCGCAUUAGCUAGUUGGUAAGGUAACGGCUUACCAAGGCGACGAUGCGUAGCCGACCUGAGAGGCGGGUCGGCCACCUUGGAACUGAAACAGGGUCCAGACGCCUACGGGAGGCAGCAGUAGGGAAUCUUCCGCAAUGGGCGAAAGCCUGACGGAGCAACGCCGCGUGAGUGAUGAAGGUCUUCGGAUCGUAAAACUCUGUUAUUAGGGAAGAACAAAUUUGUAAGUAACUAUGCACGUCUUGACGGUACCUAAUCAAAAAGCCACGGCUAACUACGUG
rnacentral:rRNA from 1 species